GGCGGCGUGCCUAACACAUGCAAGUCGAGCGGUAACAGGUGUAGCAAUACAUGCUGACGAGCGGCGAACGGGUGAGUAAUGCUUUGGAAUCUUCCCAGUAGUGGGGAAUAACCAGUCGAAAGAUUGGCUAAUACCGCAUACGUCUGUAAAGGGAAAGCGGGGGCUCGUAAGACCUCGCGCUAUUGGAUGAGCCAAAGUCGGAUUAGCUAGUUGGUGGGGUAAUGGCCUACCAAGGCGACAAUCCGUAGCUGGUCUGAGAGGACGACCAGCCACACCGGAACUGAGACACGGUCCGGACUCCUACGGGAGGCAGCAGUGGGGAAUAUUGGACAAUGGGGGAAACCCUGAUCCAGCGACGCCGCGUGUGUGAAGAAGGCCUGCGGGUUGUAAAGCACUUUUAGUGGGGACAAAAAGCUACGGAUUAAUACUCUGUGGUCUUGA
rnacentral:rRNA from 1 species